rnacentral:lncRNA from 1 species
CCCUCUUCUGCUAUAUGAAGGGUUUUGUCCGGAAAAAAAAUCAGAGAGGGAGCUUUUUCGUGGAUUCGCCGCCGCCACGAUUAGAACCAAUCUAGAGCUCCCGCAGGACGAUUCUGCCGGGGAAACUUCCCUCCCGGAGGGGGAAGUCAUCGCCAUCGUCAUCACCAACACUCCUCUCAUCAGAGGGGAUUCAUCACCAUCAACAUCUUCAUCAGCACCAUCUCAUCUCCAAACCCUAGUUCAUCUCUUGUAACCAAUCUCCGUCUUGCGACUCCGAUUGGUACUUGUAAGGUUGCUAGUAUUGUUAAUUACUCCUUGUAGUUGAUGCUAGUUGGAUUAUUUGGUGGAAGAGUUUAUAUUCAGA